GUGUCAGCAGCCGCGGUAAUACGGAGGAUCCAAGCGUUAUCCGGAUUUAUUGGGUUUAAAGGGAGCGUAGGCGGCCAUUUAAGUCAGAGGUGAAAACUUGCAGCUCAACUGUAAGCUUGCCUUUGAUACUGAAUGACUUGAAUGAACUUGAGGUAGGCGGAAUGUGACAAGUAGCGGUGAAAUGCAUAGAUAUGUCACAGAACACCAAUUGCGAAGGCAGCUUACUAAGGUUUAAUUGACGCUGAGGCUCGAAAGCGUGGGGAUCAAACAGGAUUAGAUACCCUGGUAGUCC
rnacentral:rRNA from 1 species